rnacentral:lncRNA from 1 species
AAAGAUCAAUCGUCUGUUUCUCGUGAUUAGUUUUGCACUCUUUGUCAUAAGUGUGCAGAUUGAGAUUGUUGUUUGUCUACUAAAAUUACAAAUUGUUUUUACAGGAAUCAAGGGAGGAGAAUCGGCUUCGGUAUCCUAUGCGAUCAGCCACCAAAUCUGACGAUGAGAAGCUUCCUGUAUCCGUUCCGUCAAUUGCUUAGACGUCUAGAAGGUUUAAUAUUGGUUGUCAUUGGAAUGAAUGUUGCUGCAUCUGAAUUCUAUGGAAAAGACAAGACGUGAUUUGGACUUCAAGGAAGAGGUAACAACAACGGGUCUCAAAAAAUAUCCGAAGUGCAGCUCAAAGAUCUCUAUAAAUCGUUUGUGAGCGAGUACCCUAUUACUCAAAGGUUAACCAAAUUGGAUCUGUUACUGGGAGCAAUGAAGCUGUGAAAAUGCCAAAGCAUGCUGGUUGGGGUGUUAGACUAUGGGGGGUAGAGGAGGGUAGUCCUUAAAGGAUGGUUCGCCAUGUAGACGGCCACGUAAGCGGGUGUGAGUAUGAGCCUAAAGGGAUGGGCUAGGGGUGUGGAGGAUGAGCCCCUUUUUAUAUACAUACGUAUGUAUGUAUAGUUGUGUGUGUGUGUGUUGGAUAAAGAAGUGAGGGCCAGCUUCAAUGUCUAGGGGAGAACGGGGACGACCCGGUGGGCGGUGCGCAGGCCGUCGCCGCUCCUCGACGCACCGGGACAAGCCCCAUGGGGAAAUAUAUAUUAUAUAAUAUGCGUUUUCAGUUGUUUUUGCAACUUCAUUUUUUUAUUAAUAAUAUUAUAGUGGUGUCACAAUGGGGAAACAAAGGAUACCUUCAUUGCUGAUCUCUCUGUUGGUUUAGUGACG